rnacentral:rRNA from 1 species
AGAGUUUGAUUCUGGCUCAGGAUGAACGCUAGCGGCAGGCUUAACACAUGCAAGUCGGGCGGCAGCGGGGUGGGAGCUUGCUCCCACUGCCGGCGAGCGGCGCACGGGUGAGUAACACGUAUGCAACCUGCCCCUGUCAGGGGGACAACCCGCCGAAAGGCGGGCUAAGCCCGCGUAUAUCGCCCCGGGGCAUCCCGGGGGGAGGAAAGGAGCGAUCCGGACAGGGAUGGGCAUGCGGCGCAUUAGCUGGUCGGCGGGGUAACGGCCCACCGAGGCGACGAUGCGUAGGGGUUCUGAGAGGAAGGCCCCCCACACUGGUACUGAGACACGGACCAGACUCCUACGGGAGGCAGCAGUGAGGAAUAUUGCCCAAUGGGCGGGAGCCUGAACCAGCCAAGCCGCGUGAGGGAAGAAGGUACAGCGUAUCGUAAACCUCUUUUGUCAGGGAACAAAGGCGGGGACUAAUCCCCGGAUGAGGGUACCUGAAGAAAAAGCAUCGGCUAACUCCGUGCCAGCAGCCGCGGUAAUACGGAGGAUGCGAGCGUUAUCCGGAUUUAUUG